rnacentral:rRNA from 1 species
CCGUAGCGAUUCUGACGUGCAAAUCGAUCGUCAAACUUGGGUAUAGGGGCGAAAGACUAAUCGAACCAUCUAGUAGCUGGUUCCCUCCGAAGUUUCCCUCAGGAUAGCUGGCAUCGAUCACACACAGUUUUAUCCGGUAAAGCGAAUGAUUAGAGGCCUUGGGGACGAAACGACCUCAACCUAUUCUCAAACUUUAAAUGGGUAAGAAGUCCGACUCGCUUAAUUGGAGUCGCGA